AACGAACGCUGGCGGCAUGCCUAACACAUGCAAGUCGAACGAGACCUUCGGGUCUAGUGGCGCACGGGUGCGUAACGCGUGGGAACCUGCCUUUAGGUUCGGAAUAACUCAGAGAAAUUUGAGCUAAUACCGGAUAAUGUCUUCGGACCAAAGAUUUUAUCGCCUUUAGAUGGGCCCGCGUUGGAUUAGCUAGUUGGUGGGGUAAAGCCUACCAAGGCGACGAUCCAUAGCUGGUCUGAGAGGAUGAUCAGCCACACUGGGACUGAGACACGGCCCAGACUCCUACGGAGGCAGCAGUGGGGAAUAUUGGACAAUGGGCGAAAGCCUGAUCCAGCAAUGCCGCGUGAGUGAUGAAGGCCUUAGGGUUGUAAAGCUCUUUACCCGGGAUAGGAUAAAUGACAGUACCGGGAGAAUAAG
rnacentral:rRNA from 1 species